rnacentral:tRNA from 1 species
GUCCCCUUCGUCUAGUGGUUAGGACGCCAGAUUUUCAUUCUGGAAACAGGAGUUCAAUUCUCCUAGGGGAUGCCA